CAAGUCGCACGGUAACGGGCCUUCGGGUGCCGACGAGUGGCGAACGGGUGAGUAAUGUAUCGGAACGUACCUUUCAGUGGGGGAUAACGUAGCGAAAGUUACGCUAAUACCGCAUAUUCUGUGCGCAGGAAAGCAGGGGAUCGCAAGACCUUGCGCUGAUUGAGCGGCCGAUAUCAGAUUAGCUAGUUGGUGAGGUAAAGGCUCACCAAGGCGACGAUCUGUAGCGGGUCUGAGAGGAUGAUCCGCCACACUGGAACUGAGACACGGUCCAGACUCCUACGGGAGGCAGCAGUGGGGAAUUUUGGACAAUGGGGGCAACCCUGAUCCAGCCAUUCCGCGUGAGUGAAGAAGGCCUUCGGGUUGUAAAGCUCUUUUGUCCGGAGCGAAACGGGUAGUCCUAAUACGGCUGCCUACUGACGGUACCGGAAGAAUAAGCACCGGCUAACUACGUGCCAGCAGCCGCGGUAAUACGUAGGGUGCGAGCGUUAAUCGGAAUUACUGGGCGUAAAGCGUGCGCAGGCGGUUUUGUAAGACAGGCGUGAAAUCCCCGGGCUCAACCUGGGAACUGCGCUUGUGACUGCAAGGCUAGAGUAUGGCAGAGGGGGGUGGAAUUCCACGUGUAGCAGUGAAAUGCGUAGAGAUGUGGAGGAACAUCAAUGGCGAAGGCAGCCCCCUGGGCCAAUACUGACGCUCAUGCACGAAAGCGUGGGUAGCAAACAGGAUUAGAUACCCUGGUAGUCCACGCCCUAAACGAUGUCAACUAGGUGUUGGGUGGGUAAAACCAUUUAGUACCGUAGCUAACGCGUGAAGAUGACCGCCUGGGGGAGUACGGCCGCAAGGUUAAAACUCAAAGGGAAUUGACGGGGGACCCGCACAAGCGGUGGGAUGAUGUGGGAUUAAAUUUCGAUG
rnacentral:rRNA from 1 species